UAGGACGACGCUGGCGGCGUGCUUAACACAUGCAAGUCGAACGAGGAUUACAUUGGAAGGGCUUCGGCCUGGAAGAUGUAAUUCGAGUGGCGGACGGGUGAGUAACGCGUGAACAAUCUGUCCCGGACAGGGGAAUAACACUUGGAAACAGGUGCUAAUACCGCAUAAGACCACGCCCUCGCAUGGGGGAGGGGUAAAAGGAGCAAUCCGGUUCGGGGUGAGUUCGCGUCCGAUUAGAUAGUUGGUGAGGUAACGGCCCACCAAGUCGACGAUCGGUAGCCGACCUGAGAGGGUGAUCGGCCACAUUGGAACUGAGAGACGGUCCAAACUCCUACGGGAGGCAGCAGUGGGGAAUAUUGGGCAAUGGGCGAAAAAGCCUGACCCAGCAACGCCGCGUGAGUGAAGAAGGCUUUCGGGUUGUAAAGCUCUGUUAUAGGGGACGAAGGAAGUGACGGUACCCUAUAAGGAAGCCCCGGCUAACUACGUGCCAGCCGCCGC
rnacentral:rRNA from 1 species